UGGACUAAUGAUGAGAGUAUAUGAUGAACUAAAUAUUAAGAUUAACUCAGUUCUGCGCAUGGUGGUCUGAA
rnacentral:snoRNA from 1 species